GACGAACGCUGGCGGCGUGCUUAACACAUGCAAGUCGAACGGAAAGGCCCUGCUUUUGUGGGGUGCACGAGUGGCGAACGGGUGAGUAACACGUGAGUAACCUGCCCUUGACUUUGGGAUAACUUCAGGAAACUGGGGCUAAUACCGGAUAGGAGCUCCUGCUGCAUGUUGGGGGUUGGAAAGUUUCGGCGGUUGGGGAUGGACUCGCGGCUUAUCAGCUUGUUGGUGGGGUAGUGGCUUACCAAGGCUUUGACGGGUAGCCGGCCUGAGAGGGUGACCGGCCACAGUGGGACUGAGAUACGGCCCAGACUCCUACGGGAGGCAGCAGUGGGGAAUAUUGCACAAUGGGCGGAAGCCUGAUGCAGCAACGCCGCGUGCGGGAUGACGGCCUUCGGGUUGUAAACCGCUUUCGCCUGUGACGAAGCGUGAGUGACGGUAAUGGGUAAAGAAGCACCGGCUAACUACGUG
rnacentral:rRNA from 1 species